CAGUCGCCGCGGGAAUACAGAGGGUGCGAGCGUUAAUCGGAUUUACUGGGCGUAAAGCGUGCGUAGGCGGCUUCUUAAGUCGGAUGUGAAAUCCCUGAGCUUAACUUAGGAAUUGCAUUCGAUACUGGGAAGCUAGAGUAUGGGAGAGGAUGGUAGAAUUCCAGGUGUAGCGGUGAAAUGCGUAGAGAUCUGGAGUAAUACCGAUGGCGAAGGCAGCCAUCUGGCCUAAUACUGACGCUGAGGUACGAAAGCAUGGGGAGCAAACAGGAUUAGAUACCCCAGUAGUCCCUGUCUCUUAUAC
rnacentral:rRNA from 1 species